rnacentral:rRNA from 1 species
UACGAAGGGGGCAAGCGUUGUUCGGAAUUACUGGGCGUAAAGCGCGCGUAGGCGGGCCGGUAAGUCGAUUGUGAAAGCCCUGGGCUCAACCUGGGAAUUGCAGUUGAAACUGCCGGUCUUGAGUGCCUGAGAGGAUGGCGGAAUUCCCGGGGUAGUAGUGAAAUACGGAGAUAUCGGGAAGAACACCUGAGGCGAAGGCGGCUAUCUGGCGGUGCACUGACGCUAAGGCGCGAAAGCGUGGGGAGC